rnacentral:tRNA from 1 species
GGGACUGUAGCUCAGUUGGGAGAGCGCCGCACUGAAGAUGCGGAGGCCGCCGGUUCAAGUCCGGCCAGUCCCACCA